GUCACGUCGUAUGAACCUCUUAUCACCGUUCUCUGACUGGAGGCCACGCAGGAGAGCAUGCAGGAUAUGACCUUAUUGCUUCAUGUGAUGGGGGGGAGGGGAGUCAUCCUACAGUUUGUGCUGCCCUUCUGGACAUGAGGUGCUGAGGGCCUCAGGCCAGCUUGGUAUCCUCACUGCACUGGGCUUCUGCGCCGAUGCAACAUCAUUCCGUUGUGAUGGGACGAGACUGAGACUCAUGAACUUGUGAAAGCAAUUUCUGCUGCAGCAAAGAUGCCUCUUUAUCCCAGACCUCAGCAGGGCUUCAGCAGCCAAGUCCACUGUGAUGGGAGGAGACUGAGACUCAUGAACUUGUGAAAGCAGUUUCUGCUGCAGCAAAGCAUAGCCUCUUCCCAGACUCCAGAAGGAUCCAGCAACUGAGAAUCCUGGCGACGUGGAACAAUGUGUCUGCAGCCUCUCACUGUUGGUCCUGAGCCAUGGUGACAGAGCACAGCUGUCAGCACUCUGAUCAGCUGUCACUCUUUGGAAUAGAACAAACUCUCCUAAGCUACUUAAUAAUGCAGCUGUGUGUUCACUGAAGCAGAUUUUUACCUUGUCCUUUGUCUACUGUGUACUCGAUGACAAAUAAAAUAUCAAAUACU